UCUCCGUUGGUGAACCAGCGGAGGGAUCAUUACAGGACUCGCAAGACUCCUACAACCCUGUGAACUUAACUAUAAGCACGUUGCUUCGGCGGGUGUCUCGGAGGGGGUUCUCCCUCCCCGAGACGCUAAACCCGCCGGCAGCCUACUUUACUCUGUCUCUUUGCGUUGGCAUCUCGAGUACAAUCAAACAAGUUAAAACUUUCAACAACGGAUCUCUUGGUUCUG
rnacentral:misc_RNA from 1 species